UGGGGAAUAUUGCGCAAUGGGGGGAACCCUGACGCAGCAACGCCGCGUGAAGGAUGAAGGUUUUCGGAUUGUAAACUUCUUUGAUGAGGGACGAAAGAAAUGACGGUACCUCAAAAACAAGCCACGGCUAACUACGUGCCAGCAGCCGCGGUAAUACGUAGGUGGCGAGCGUUGUCCGGAAUUACUGGGUGUAAAGGGCGUGUAGGCGGGGAUGUAAGUCAGAUGUGAAAUACCGUGGCUUAACUACGGGGCUGCAUCUGAAACUAUGUUUCUUGAGUGUCGGAGAGGAAAGUGGAAUUCCCAGUGUAGCGGUGAAAUGCGUAGAUAUUGGGAGGAACACCAGUGGCGAAGGCGACUUUCUGGACGAUAACUGACGCUGAGGCGCGAAAGCGUGGGGAGCAAACAGGAUUAGAUACCCUGGUAGUCCACGCUGUAAACGAUGUC
rnacentral:rRNA from 1 species